rnacentral:rRNA from 1 species
CACGCCGUAAACGAUGAUCACUAGAUGUAGGUUCUGCAUAGCAGGAUCUGUGUCGUAGCUAACGCGAUAAGUGAUCCACCUGAGUACUACGAUCGCAAGAUUAAAACUCAAAGAAAUUGACGGGGGUCCGCACAAGCGGUGGAACAUGUGGUUUAAUUCGACACUACGCGAGGAACCUUACCUGGGUUUGACAUGUAACUGCUACUGAUGGAGACAUUGGGUUCCGUAGCAAUACGGACGGUUACACAGGUGCUGCAUGGCUGUCGUCAGCUCGUGUCGUGAGACGUCGGGUUAAGUCCUUGAACGAGCGCAACCCUUGCCGUUAGUUGCUUACCGCAAGGUGGCACUCUAGCGGGACUGCUUCGGAAACGGA